GAUGAAGAACGCAGCGAAAUGCGAUAAGUAAUGUGAAUUGCAGAAUUCAGUGAAUCAUCGAAUCUUUGAACGCACAUUGCGCCCCCUGGCAUUCCGGGGGGCAUGCCUGUCCGAGCGUCAUUGCUGCCCUUCAAGCCCGGCUUGUGUGUUGGGUCGUCGUCCCCUCCGGGGGACGGGCCCGAAAGGCAGCGGCGGCACCGCGUCCGGUCCUCGAGCGUAUGGGGCUUUGUCACCCGCUCGAUUAGGGCCGGCCGGGCGCCAGCCGGCGUCUCCAACCUUUUAUUUUACCAGGUUGACCUCGGAUCAGGUAGGGAUACCCGCUGAACUUAAGCAUAUCAAUAAGCGGAGGA
rnacentral:misc_RNA from 1 species